CGCUUUAGCCGCCCGAGUUUCAAGUUUAUUAUUUACUAGAUUUUGCCCGUGGUUUCGCCCGCGUGAUUUCCCACGGGAGCAGUUAUUUUUUCGGGAUGAAAGGUGUCCUUAUGUCCUUCUCCGUACAAAAUUUCAAAAAAGAAAGUACUUCCAAGUGGUACCGUGGAUUGGAGGGCUCCCAUGUGCAUGUUUGGCGUCUCCUUCAAAGACAAAUAUAAGAAUAACACGCUUGUUAUUUCAAGAUGGGUAACGGUUCGAGAAUUCCAUAUGAGAAAAAUCAUGGCUGACAAACACAAAGGAAUGGACUCGAUGCCUCAUCAGCAAAGUUAAACAUCUUCGAUUGGCGAUGGACAGAGAUGGGUUUUUGACUUUUAUCUACAGUUUUUAAGAAUCUGACGACCGACCUUCAAUAAUGGAGAGGCACUGCACGAAGAAGAUAUUUCAAACACUAAAAAUAUGUACUUGUAGAUAUUUUGAAUGACAAAUUUAAUAAUAUUUUUCAGCCACUAUACCCUAUAUAAGGACAAAUCAUACUGAUUGAGCUAGCCCUAAAAAAACUUUACGUUAUGGGGUACUAACACAAAGAUACUAUAUUUUAUAACAAAUACAUUACUUUAACACUGU